AGAGAGGAAGAGGAGGCUGCAGUUACCCCUGGACCAUAUGAAUCUUCUUGGUGGAACUGAUAUUGGAGCUGUACCUCUGGUAAACAAUGAAAGCCACCAGAGUAAGACAGAUGACUCCAACAAUGCCUGCUACGACUGAAACAGCCAGCAUGGUACUGUUCAAAUGAGUCUGCUGAGCACCUGGGAAGGAAAGAGACACCAAGGAUUAGAGCAUAUAGAGCAAUGUACAAUUUCUAUACUGAUAAGAAUGAAGGCAACGUAUUAAUGUACAACAUUUAUGUAUCUAACUGUCAAGCCAAUUGGUUUCCCAAUGUCUAAAGCUCUUGUCAUCUGUUUUGUUUGAUAAAAAUACAGGAAUGCAGGAAAUGAAUUAAUGUUGGCAGUGUAUGCAUACCUCCAGAUGCCACCAGAUACCCUGUGAGUGGAAAAGAGAAACCCUCAAUACAUCAGUGACCAAAAGAAACCCACAAUCAACACAUGCAGUCUGAAAUGUGACAGACUGUUAACUCACCCAACAAAGAGAUCAUAAUAUGUGGUGGUGACGUCGAAAAGCGAGGUAGAGGCGUAACAUCGGUCCAGGAGCACGUUGAAUCUGCAAGGAGGCGUUUCGGUAUCAGCACAGAUCAAUACAGCUUGUCAUAUUUUCCCAUAUUCUAGGUGAGAUCUAUUUGAACCUUUGCUAUGGAUGUUGGCACAGGUACAGUUUGGGGAAAAAUACUUAUCUAGAAUUUUAUUAAUUUAUCAAAUUUUUUAAUGAGGUAAGACAGUGUAGAUCCCUGGGUUAACAUGCACACAUAACAGAGCACCAAUUUUUUACCAGAUAUUUAGGAUUGAAAUGUGUGUUCUUUAUUGAGCAAAUUCUUUUUUUACCAAAAAUAUACAAUCAGUAUACUUCAGUUGCUAAAUCUCGUUUUUGCUAAAGUUUGGGUUCAACAUUUCCUCCAUUCUAUUGAAUAUUUCUGCAACAAUUUUGUUCCUUUUAUGCAUCAAAGUAUGGUGCAAAUGUCUUUCUUUAUGUAAAGGAAAUUAUUAUUAGAUAUUUGAGGAGGUUGCACUGGCCAGUUGUGAUUAUUGGGCCACCUAUGGAAGUACCUGUUAGUGAGGUUGGACGCUUUGACUUCUACAUAGAUCCUGGUCUUUAGAUCCAAGCCUCCUGGAGGGAUCUGCAAAAUGGAGGAGUAGCCAUGGUCCUUCAGGCCCAAUAACAGAAGAGACGGAAGGAUGUUGUUUAAAGUGAUUGAUGUGUUGGUGAUUUUGACAGAAUGCUUUGAGUUCAUCAUCAGUUUAGAACUGCCCAUCCCUCCACACAAGGGAAGGGCCACAGGAGGGGUACUGCUGCUAAAUUUGUUGUCUGGACUACACGAUGCAGAGCCAAAAUAUUAGCAUUACUAUAGAACGGCACUUUCAUCAUUAACCACUAUAUAGAUGGAAUAUAGCAAUUAGCAAAGGUCCCAGUUUUAAUCCAGCAAGUCAUCAUUCAUAUUGAAAGAACCUCAAGCCUGAUUCUUUAUAUCUGUAAAUAAAUUAGAAAUUAUAAAAUUUCAAAUUUCUAUAUAAAAGAAAAUGAUAGAGAUACACAAUCAUUUUAUGAUGAAUCAAGGUUAGUUUAAAGUGACUUAGAAAUGUUCAGAAUUUACUUAAAGCUGAAAGAAAGAUCGACUCCAAAGACAAGAAAGUCACGAUGCCCAGAAAAAGUCCAGCACAUAAGUCCAUGUUUAACUAGAAAUGGUCAUUUUUACACUUCAAUUUCUGUACGGAUUAAACAAAUGAGAUAUUAUGUG